UUCCCCUUGGUGUAAUGGUAGCACAACUGUUUUUGGUACAGUUAGUAUAGGUUCGAAUCCUGUAGGGGAAGCCA
rnacentral:tRNA from 1 species